rnacentral:rRNA from 1 species
UACGGAGGGUGCAAGCGUUAUCCGGAUUCACUGGGUUUAAAGGGUGCGUAGGAGGGCAGGUAAGUCAGUGGUGAAAUCUCCGGGCUUAACCCGGAAACUGCCGUUGAUACUAUUUGUCUUGAAUACCGUGGAGGUGAGCGGAAUAUGUCAUGUAGCGGUGAAAUGCUUAGAUAUGACAUAGAACACCAAUUGCGAAGGCAGCUCACUACACGGUCAUUGACGCUGAGGCCCGAAAGCAUGGGGAGCAAACAGG